rnacentral:rRNA from 1 species
GUGGGGAAUCUUCCGCAAUGGACGAAAGUCUGACGGAGCAACGCCGCGUGAGUGAUGAAGGUCUUCGGAUUGUAAAGCUCUGUUAAUCGGGACGAAAGAGCCUAGUGUGAAUAAUGCUAGGAAGUGACGGUACCGGAAUAGAAAGCCACGGCUAACUACGUGCCAGCAGCCGCGGUAAUACGUAGGUGGCAAGCGUUGUCCGGAAUUAUUGGGCGUAAAGCGCGCGCAGGCGGAUCUGCCAGUCUGUCUUAAAAGUUCGGGGCUUAACCCCGUGAUGGGAUGGAAACUACAGAUCUAGAGUAUCGGAGAGGAAAGUGGAAUUCCUAGUGUAGCGGUGAAAUGCGUAGAUAUUAGGAAGAACACCAGUGGCGAAGGCGACUUUCUGGACGAAAACUGACGCUGAGGCGCGAAAGCCAGGGGAGCGAACGGGAUUAGAUACCCGAGUAGUCC